UGGGGAAUAUUGCACAAUGGGGGAAACCCUGAUGCAGCAACGCCGCGUGAGUGAUGACGGUCUUCGGAUUGUAAAGCUCUGUCUUUAGGGACGAUAAUGACGGUACCUAAGGAGGAAGCCACGGCUAACUACGUGCCAGCAGCCGCGGUAAUACGUAGGUGGCAAGCGUUGUCCGGAUUUACUGGGCGUAAAGGGAGCGUAGGCGGAUUUUUAAGUGGGAUGUGAAAUACCCGGGCUCAACCUGGGUGCUGCAUUCCAAACUGGAGAUCUAGAGUACAGGAGGGGAAAGUGGAAUUCCUAGUGUAGCGGUGAAAUGCGUAGAGAUUAGGAAGAACACCAGUGGCGAAGGCGACUUUCUGGACUGUAACUGACGCUGAGGCUCGAAAGCGUGGGGAGCAAACAGG
rnacentral:rRNA from 1 species